CAGGCUAUUUCUAUUAGUUGAGAUUUCAUUUACGCUGAAUUUUUUGUCGUGCGAUUCGGCAUGGUCUGA
rnacentral:tRNA from 1 species